rnacentral:rRNA from 1 species
UUCUGGCUCAGAACGAACGCUGGCGGCGCGUCUUAAGCAUGCAAGUCGAACGGCAAGAGGUAGCAAUACCUCCUAGAGUGGCGGACUGGUGAGUAACACGUGGGUGACAUACCCUUCAGAUGGGGAUAGCUAUUAGAAAUAGUAGAUAAUACCGAAUACGAGCACAGGGGUUAGAGAUCUGUGAGGAAAGGAGCUAAGGCUCCGCUGAAGGAAUGGCCUGCGGCCCAUUAGCUAGUUGGUGAGGUAAGAGCCCACCAAGGCGAUGAUGGGUAUCCGGCCUUAGAGGGUGAACGGACACAUUGGGACUGAGAUACGGCCCAGACUCCUACGGGAGGCAGCAGCUAAGAAUAUUCCGCAAUGGACGAAAGUCUGACGGAGCGACGCCGCGUGGAUGAAGAAGGCCGGAAGGUUGUAAAAUCCUUUUGAAACUGAAGAAUAAGCGUUGUAGGGAAUGACAGCGUGGUGACAGUAGGUUUUGAAUAAGCAACGGCUAAUUACGUGCCAGCCGCUGC